rnacentral:rRNA from 1 species
CCUACGGGUGGCUGCAGUGGGGAAUAUUGGACAAUGGGGGGAACCCUGAUCCAGCCAUGCCGCGUGUGUGAAGAAGGCCCUCGGGUUGUAAAGCACUUUCAGUGAGGAAGAACGCCUGGUGGUUAAUACCCAUCAGGAAAGACAUCACUCACAGAAGAAGCACCGGCUAACUCCGUGCCAGCAGCCGCGGUAAUACGGAGGGUGCGAGCGUUAAUCGGAAUUACUGGGCGUAAAGCGCGCGUAGGUGGCUUGAUAAGCCGGUUGUGAAAGCCCCGGGCUCAACCUGGGAACGGCAUCCGGAACUGUCAAGCUAGAGGGCAGGAGAGGAAGGUAGAAUUCCCGGUGUAGCGGUGAAAUGCGUAGAGAUCGGGAGGAAUACCAGUGGCGAAGGCGGCCUUCUGGACUGACACUGACACUGAGGUGCGAAAGCGUGGGUAGCAAACAGGAUUAGAUACCCCGGUAGUC